ACAUUGCUCAAAAUUGGCUCCAGAGUCAGAUUGGGAGCCAACCAUAUUCCUUUGUCUCUGUUGCAAAGGCCAGUUGAGCUGUACAGACAAUCCUUUUUGCAUGGGAAAAAAAUGGUACAAGGAAGAAAUAGAGCCUUCGACGAGGGAAAAUAAAGAAAAAGAAAAUCACUUUGGUGGCUGAAUAGAAGAUGGAGAAACAAAAAGAUAAACAAGAAAGAAGUUAAGUUUAGGAAUAGUUAAACAUGAUAGAUUUUAGAAGAUUACUAAAUGCACAAAAUGAAGUUACAUAUGUAUAGCUGUAUCUAUCUAAGCUUUUUUAAAAAAAGUCCAAUUAUAAAUUAUAUAAAU
rnacentral:lncRNA from 1 species